rnacentral:rRNA from 1 species
GUUGCCAUCGGGUAAUGCCGGGCACUCUGGAAGGACUGCCAUCGACAAGAUGGAGGAAGUGGGGAUGACGUCAAGUCAUCAUGGCCCUUAUGUCCAGGGCGACACACGUGCUACAAUGGCCGGCACAACGGGAAGCGAGUUCGCGAGGACGAGCGGAUCCCUCAAAGCCGGUCGCAGUUCGGAUUGAAGUCUGCAACUCGACUUCAUGAAGCUGGAAUCGCUAGUAAUCGCAGAUCAGCCAAGCUGCGGUGAAUACGUUCCCGGGCCUU